rnacentral:rRNA from 2 species
AAAUUGAAGAGUUUGAUCAUGGCUCAGAUUGAACGCUGGCGGCAGGCCUAACACAUGCAAGUCGAACGGUAACAGGAAACAGCUUGCUGUUUCGCUGACGAGUGGCGGACGGGUGAGUAAUGUCUGGGAAACUGCCUGAUGGAGGGGGAUAACUACUGGAAACGGUAGCUAAUACCGCAUAACGUCGCAAGACCAAAGAGGGGGACCUUCGGGCCUCUUGCCAUCGGAUGUGCCCAGAUGGGAUUAGCUAGUAGGUGGGGUAACGGCUCACCUAGGCGACGAUCCCUAGCUGGUC